CUACUACUACACCGAUAGCGCACAAGUACCGUGAGGGAAAGGUGAAAAGAACCGUGGGUAACGGAGUGAAAUAGAACCUGAAACCAUCUACUUACAAUCAUUCAGAGCACCAUAGUGAAUCCCCCUGAGGAAUUGCGGGGGGGGGCUGUAUAUAACACUUAUACGCCCUCUCCUCCUCCAUGAUUUCUCGAUAUCUUUUUUGGUAAGGAGUUUUCAUGAAACCCCAAGACAAUGCGUCAAACAUGCAAAACCCGAAUCGUGGGACUAGCGGGACAAAUAGGCAAUACGACCAAAAUCAGGGGAAUAGGGGAAGCCAACUAAACCCUAACAACCCCAACAACAGGAAAUAGGUAAGGAGAGGUCUCAUGGGAAGAGGACAACCAGAUAACGACCCUAACGAAGCAGGCUAUCCUUCCACGACAGGUAACCCAAGCGGUGGCGGUCGUGGCAAUGAUGACCCUGAUGACGAUUAGGUCUAACUAGGUCUCAAACAAGGAGGGGAAAAACUUCAAUUCUUCAGUGGGAUUCACUGGUGUGAUGGACUGCCUUUUGCAUAAUGAUCCUGCGAGUUGUGGUGUCUGGCAAGGUUAAGUGAAAACGAGCCGUAGCGAAAGCGAGUCUGAAUAGGGCUAUUUAGUCAGACGCUGCAGACCCGAAGCCAAGUGAUCUAUCCAUGGCCAAGUUGAAACGAGUGUAACAGCUUGUGGAGGACUGAACCCGUGCCCAUUGAAACGGGCUGGGAUGAGCUG
rnacentral:ncRNA from 1 species